CAGGAAUCGUCAGGCCAAAAGGAAAACAGCCAGAAAGGAGCUACUGUGACACUGGAGGGAUUUUCCCAGGAAAACAACCAAGUUCCUAGAGAACAUCAGAACAUCAGGCUGAUGAAAAAGAAACUGAAACAUCACAGACGCCAUAUAAACAAGCGGUAACAAAAUGGAGAUUUCAUUUUCUGUGGAGAUUUUGUGCAUUUUGCUGUAGAGCAAAGAAAAAAAAAAUCACUUCAGAAUCUUUCAGAACAAGUCUCCCACACCUCUUCCUCCAUUAGCCCGAGAGUUUGCUUAUGAAGAGUACAAUAGUUUUUUAAUAAAUGGGAGAAACCAGCAGGUAUAAACAUGGAGCGAGCAUCAAGCAACAUACAGGUUCUGGCCAGAGCAAGAAUUGCCACCAGCACCCACUGAGACACAUAUUGAUGGUACCAGCACAGAUUUCUUCCUCCAGGCGCUUUGGGAUGGACAUCCAGAUGAUUAAACAAAGACAAGCCAGGAUCUCUGGAAACAUCUGCUUUUGACAUUACAGGGCCAUGAAGAUCUGGAAGAUAGAACAGAGAAAGUAAGUGGAACAUCUGCUGCGGAGGGAGCUGGCAAGGGGAUGUGGUAGCGGUUUGUGUCAUUGUGGUCUGGC
rnacentral:lncRNA from 1 species